rnacentral:rRNA from 1 species
UUAAGCGACUAAGCGUACACGGUGGAUGCCCUGGCAGUCAGAGGCGAUGAAGGACGUGCUAAUCUGCGAAAAGCGUCGGUAAGGUGAUAUGAACCGUUACAGCCGGCGAUGUCCGAAUGGGGAAACCCAGUGCAAUUCGUUGCACUAUCGUUAACUGAAUACAUAGGUUAACGAGGCGAACCGGGGGAACUGAAACAUCUAAGUACCCCGAGGAAAAGAAAUCAACCGAGAUUCCCCCAGUAGCGGCGAGCGAACGGGGAGCAGCCCGGAGUCUGAAUCAGCUUGUGUGUUAGUGGAAGCGUCUGGAAAGUCGCAGGGUACAGGGUGAUACUCCCGUACACUAAAACACACAGGUUGUGAACUCGAAGAGUAGGGCGGGACACGUGGUAUCCUGUCUGAAUAUGGGGGGACCAUCCUCCAAGGCUAAAUACUCCUGACUGACCGAUAGUGAACCAGUACCGUGAGGGAAAGGCGAAAAGAACCCCGGCGAGGGGAGUGAAAAAGAACCUGAAACCGUGUACGUACAAGCAGUAGGAGCCCACUAGUUGGGUGACUGCGUACCUUUUGUAUAAUGGGUCAGCGACUUAUAUUCUGUAGCAAGGUUAACCGAAUAGGGGAGCCGCAGGGAAACCGAGUCUUAACUGGGCGUUAAGUUGCAGGGUAUAGACCCGAAACCCGGUGAUCUAGCCAUGGGCAGGUUGAAGGUUGGGUAACACUAACUGGAGGACCGAACCGACUAAUGUUGAAAAAUUAGCGGAUGACUUGUGGCUGGGGGUGAAAGGCCAAUCAAACCGGGAGAUAGCUGGUUCUCCCCGAAAGCUAUUUAGGUAGCGCCUCGUGAAUUCAUCUUCGGGGGUAGAGCACUGUUUCGGCUAGGGGGUCAUCCCGACUUACCAACCCGAUGCAAACUACGAAUACCGAAGAAUGUUAUCACGGGAGACACACGGCGGGUGCUAACGUCCGUCGUGAAGAGGGAAACAACCCAGACCGCCAGCUAAGGUCCCAAAGUCAUGGUUAAGUGGGAAACGAUGUGGGAAGGCCCAGACAGCCAGGAUGUUGGCUUAGAAGCAGCCAUCAUUUAAAGAAAGCGUAAUAGCUCACUGGUCGAGUCGGCCUGCGCGGAAGAUGUAACGGGGCUAAACCAUGCACCGAAGCUGCGGCAGCGACGCUUAUGCGUUGUUGGGUAGGGGAGCGUUCUGUAAGCCGUUGAAGGUGGCCUGUGAGGGUUGCUGGAGGUAUCAGAAGUGCGAAUGCUGACAUAAGUAACGAUAAUGCGGGUGAAAAACCCGCACGCCGGAAGACCAAGGGUUCCUGUCCAACGUUAAUCGGGGCAGGGUGAGUCGACCCCUAAGGCGAGGCCGAAAGGCGUAGUCGAUGGGAAACAGGUUAAUAUUCCUGUACUUGGUGUUACUGCGAAGGGGGGACGGAGAAGGCUAUGUUGGCCGGGCGACGGUUGUCCCGGUUUAAGCAUGUAGGCGGAUGUUCCAGGUAAAUCCGGAACGUUAUUAACGCUGAGGUGUGAUGACGAGGCACUACGGUGCUGAAGUGACAAAUGCCCUGCUUCCAGGAAAAGCCUCUAAGCAUCAGGUAACAUCAAAUCGUACCCCAAACCGACACAGGUGGUCAGGUAGAGAAUACCAAGGCGCUUGAGAGAACUCGGGUGAAGGAACUAGGCAAAAUGGUGCCGUAACUUCGGGAGAAGGCACGCUGAUGGUAGGUGAAGUGACUUGCUCAUGGAGCUGAAAUCAGUCGAAGAUACCAGCUGGCUGCAACUGUUUAUUAAAAACACAGCACUGUGCAAACACGAAAGUGGACGUAUACGGUGUGACGCCUGCCCGGUGCCGGAAGGUUAAUUGAUGGGGUUAUCCUCGCGGAGAAGCUCUUGAUCGAAGCCCCGGUAAACGGCGGCCGUAACUAUAACGGUCCUAAGGUAGCGAAAUUCCUUGUCGGGUAAGUUCCGACCUGCACGAAUGGCGUAAUGAUGGCCAGGCUGUCUCCACCCGAGACUCAGUGAAAUUGAACUCGCUGUGAAGAUGCAGUGUACCCGCGGCAAGACGGAAAGACCCCGUGAACCUUUACUAUAGCUUGACACUGAACACUGGUCCUUGAUGUGUAGGAUAGGUGGGAGGCUUUGAAGUGUGGACGCCAGUCUGCAUGGAGCCGUCCUUGAAAUACCACCCUUUAAUGGCUGGUGUUCUAACGUUGGCCCGUGAUCGGGGUUGCGGACAGUGUCUGGUGGGUAGUUUGACUGGGGCGGUCUCCUCCUAAAGAGUAACGGAGGAGCACGAAGGUCAGCUAAUCCUGGUCGGACAUCAGGAGGUUAGUGCAAUGGCAUAAGCUGGCUUGACUGCGAGCGUGACGGCGCGAGCAGGUGCGAAAGCAGGUCAUAGUGAUCCGGUGGUUCUGAAUGGAAGGGCCAUCGCUCAACGGAUAAAAGGUACUCCGGGGAUAACAGGCUGAUACCGCCCAAGAGUUCAUAUCGACGGCGGUGUUUGGCACCUCGAUGUCGGCUCAUCACAUCCUGGGGCUGAAGUAGGUCCCAAGGGUAUGGCUGUUCGCCAUUUAAAGUGGUACGCGAGCUGGGUUUAGAACGUCGUGAGACAGUUCGGUCCCUAUCUGCCGUGGGCGCUGGAGAAUUGAGGGGGGCUGCUCCUAGUACGAGAGGACCGGAGUGGACGCAUCACUGGUGUUCGGGUUGUCAUGCCAAUGGCAUUGCCCGGUAGCUAAAUGCGGAAGAGAUAAGUGCUGAAAGCAUCUAAGCACGAAACUUGCCCCGAGAUGAGUUCUCCCUGACUCUUUGAGGGUCCUGAAGGAACGUUGAAGACGACGACGUUGAUAGGCCGGGUGUGUAAGCGCAGCGAUGCGUUGAGCUAACCGGUACUAAUGAACCGUGAGGCUUAACCUU